GUCCAUAUCCCUCCAAACCUGUCCUAUCCAUUUACCUGUCUAACUGCUUCUUAAAUGUUGGGAUAAUCCCGACCUCAACUACCUCAUCUGGAAGCGUGUUUCGUACAUCCACCACCCUGUGUGUAAAAAUGUU